rnacentral:misc_RNA from 1 species
AAGUCGUAACAAGGUUUCCGUAGGUGAACCUGCGGAAGGAUCAUUAACGAACGAAAGGUUUACUUUAUGUGAAUCUUUUGGGAUCAACCAAAACCUGUGUGAAAAAAGUAUUUCGAAUAUUACUAUUGUAAUGUAUAUAAUCGAAUACGCUAUAUAAUAAUAAAUACAAAACUUUCAACAACGGAUCUCUUGGCUCUU